rnacentral:misc_RNA from 1 species
GAUGAAGAACUCAGCGAAAUGCGAUAAGUAAUGUGAAUUGCAGAAUUCAGUGAAUCAUCGAAUCUUUGAACGCACAUUGCGCCCGCCAGUAUUCUGGCGGGCAUGCCUGUUCGAGCGUCAUUUCAACCCUCAAGCCCCCGGGCUUGGUGUUGGGGAUCGGCGUGCCCUCGCGGCGCGCCGUCCCCUAAAUCUAGUGGCGGUCUCGCUGUAGCUUCCUCUGCGUAGUAGCAACACUCGCACUGGAUCGCAGCGCGGCCACGCCGUUAAACCCCCCACUUCUGAAAGUUUGACCUCGGAUCAGGUAGGAAUACCCGCUGAACUUAAGCAUAUCAAUAAGCGGAGGA